rnacentral:pre_miRNA from 1 species
UAUAAUGUUUUGACUAUUCGUUUUAUUUGAAAUUUUUCGCGAUUAAUAUUUUUGUUCUUACUAGAUGAUAAAACAUAAAUAGCAAUUUAUGCGUGACUAUUUUUUUUAGUUUUUUACAAAUUUUUUAAAUAAGACGAAUGGUUAAACGUUGGACAUGAAAAAACA